rnacentral:rRNA from 1 species
AGAUGGCGACCGGCGCACGGGUGAGUAACACGUAUCCAACCUGCCGAUAACUCGGGGAUAGCCUUUCGAAAGAAAGAUUAAUACCCGAUGGUAUAAUCAGACCGCAUGGUUUGAUUAUUAAAGAAUUUCGGUUAUCGAUGGGGACGCGUUCCAUUAGGCAGUUGGUGAGGUAACGGCUCACCAAACCUUCGAUGGAUAGGGGUUCUGAGAGGAAGGUCCCCCACAUUGGAACUGAGACACGGUCCAA